rnacentral:rRNA from 1 species
UACGUAGGGGGCAAGCGUUGUCCGGAAUCAUUGGGCGUAAAGCGCGCGUAGGCGGCCCGGUAAGUCCGUUGUGAAAGUCAAAGGCUCAACCUUUGAAAGCCGAUGGAUACUGUAGAGCUAGAGUCCGGAAGAGGCGAGUGGAAUUCCUGGUGUAGCGGUGGAAUGCGCAGAUAUCAGGAGGAACACCAAUAGCGAAGGCAGCUCGCUGGGACGGUACUGACACUAAGGCGCGAAAAGCGUGGGGAGCGAACAGG